UACGUAGGUGGCAAGCGUUACUCGGAAUCACUGGGCGUAAAGCGCAUGUAGGCGGUUUGGUAAGUCUUUUGUGAAAGCUCCCGGCUUAACUGGGAGAGGUCAAGGGAAACUACCGGACUAGAGUGUGGUAGGGGAUACUGGAAUUCCUGGUGUAGCGGUGAAAUGCGUAGAUAUCAGGAGGAAUACCUAUGGCGAAAGCAGGUAUCUGGGCCAUCACUGACGCUGAGCUGCGAAAGCUAGGGGAGCAAACAGG
rnacentral:rRNA from 1 species